CGUUAAGUAGACCGCCUGGGGAGUACGGCCGCAAGGUUAAAACUCAAAUGAAUUGACGGGGGCCCGCACAAGCGGUGGAGCAUGUGGUUUAAUUCGAUGCAACGCGAAGAACCUUACCUGGUCUUGACAUCCACAGAAGAAUCCAGAGAUGGAUUUGUGCCUUCGGGAACUGUGAGACAGGUGCUGCAUGGCUGUCGUCAGCUCGUGUUGUGAAAUGUUGGGUUAAGUCCCGCAACGAGCGCAACCCUUAUCCUUUGUUGCCAGCGGUUAGGCCGGGAACUCAAAGGAGACUGCCAGUGAUAAACUGGAGGAAGGUGGGGAUGACGUCAAGUCAUCAUGGCCCUUACGACCAGGGCUACACACGUGCUACAAUGGCGCAUACAAAGAGAAGCGACCUCGCGAGAGCAAGCGGACCUCAUAAAGUGCGUCGUAGUCCGGAUUGGAGUCUGCAACUCGACUCCAUGAAGUCGGAAUCGCUAGUAAUCGUGGAUCAGAAUGCCACGGUGAAUACGUUCCCGGGCCUUGUACACACCGCCCGUCACACCAUGGGAGUGGGUUGCAAAAGAAGUAGGUAGCUUAACCUUCGGGAGGGCGCUUACCACUUUGUGAUUCAUGACUGGGGUGAAGUCGUAACAAGGUAACCGUAGGGGAACCUGCGGUUGGAUCACCUCCUUAC
rnacentral:rRNA from 1 species